rnacentral:rRNA from 1 species
AUAAGACAUGCAAGUCGAACGGGACUUUCAGUGUAGCAAUACAUUGAAAGUUCAGUGGCGUAAGGGUGCGUAACACGUGGGAAAUCUGCCGAGAAGUGGGGGAUAGCUCGCCGAAAGGCGAAUUAAUACCGCAUGUGGUCAGUGAGGACAUCCUCGCGAAACCAAAGCCGGGGCAACCUGGCGCUUCUUGAUGAUCCCGCGGCCUAUCAGCUAGUUGGCGGGGUAAAAGCCCACCAAGGCUAUGACGGGUAGCUGGUCUGAGAGGACGACCAGCCACACUGGAACUGAGACACGGUCCAGACACCUACGGGAGGCAGCAGUUAGGAAUAUUGGACAAUGGGGGAAACCCUGAUCCAGCCAUGCCGCGUGAGUGAAGAAGGCCUUAGGGUUGUAAAGCUCUUUCGGCUGUGGAGAUAAUGACAGUAGCAGAAGAAGAAGCCCCGGCUAAAUUCGUGCCAGCAGCCGCGGUAAUACGAAUGGGGCGAGCGUUGUGCGGAAUCACUGGGCGUAAAGGGUGCGCAGGCGGUCAUGAA